ACUCAAAGGAAUUGACGGGGGCCCGCACAAGCAGCGGAGCAUGUGGUUUAAUUCGAAGCAACGCGAAGAACCUUACCUAGACUUGACAUCUCCUGAAUUACCGGUAAUGCGGGAAGCCCUUCGGGGCAGGAAGACAGGUGGUGCAUGGUUGUCGUCAGCUCGUGUCGUGAGAUGUUGGGUUAAGUCCCGCAACGAGCGCAACCCUUGUCGUUAGUUGCUACCAUUAAGUUGAGCACUCUAGCGAGACUGCCGCGGUUAACGCGGAGGAAGGUGGGGAUGACGUCAAAUCAUCAUGCCCCUUAUGUCUAGGGCUACACACGUGCUACAAUGGUCGGUACAAUGAGACGCAAUACCGCGAGGUGGAGCAAAACUUAUAAAACCGAUCCCAGUUCGGAUUGCAGGCUGCAACUCGCCUGCAUGAAGCCGGAGUUGCUAGUAAUCGCGAAUCAGAAUGUCGCGGUGAAUACGUUCCCGGGCCUUGUACACACCGCCCGU
rnacentral:rRNA from 1 species